GUCUAGUUAGCAAUUAUACCGCGAAACUGCGAAUGGCUCAUUAUAUAAGUUAUCGUUUAUUUGAUAGUACCUUACUACUUGGAUAACCGUGGUAAUUCUAGAGCUAAUACAUGCUAAAAAUCCCGACUUCGGAAGGGAUGUAUUUAUUAGAUUAAAAACCAAUGCCCUUCGGGGCUCCUUGGUGAUUCAUGAUAACUUCUCGAAUCGCAUGGCCUUGUGCCGGCGAUGGUUCAUUCAAAUUUCUUCCCUAUCAACUUUCGAUGUUUGGGUAUUGGCCAAACAUGGUUGCAACGGGUAACGGAGGGUUAGGGCUCGACCCCGGAGAAGGAGCCUGAGAAACGGCUACUACAUCCAAGGAAGGCAGCAGGCGCGCAAAUUACCCAAUCCCGACACGGGGAGGUAGUGACAAUAAAUACUGAUACAGGGCUCUUUUGGGUCUUGUAAUUGGAAUGAGUACAAUUUAAAUCCCUUAACGAGGAACAAUUGGAGGGCAAGUCUGGUGCCAGCAGCCGCGGUAAUUCCAGCUCCAAUAGCGUAUAUUAAAGUUGUUGUGGUUAAAAAGCUCGUAGUUGAACCUUGGGCCUGGCUGGCCGGUCCGCCUCACCGCGUGUACUGGUCCGGCCGGGCCUUUCCCUCUGUGGAACCCCAUGCCCUUCACUGGGUGUGGCGGGGAAACAGGACUUUUACUUUGAAAAAAUUAGAGUGCUCCAGGCAGGCCUAUGCUCGAAUACAUUAGCAUGGAAUAAUAGAAUAGGACGUGUGGUUCUAUUUUGUUGGUUUCUAGGACCGCCGUAAUGAUUAAUAGGGACAGUCGGGGGCAUCAGUAUUCAACUGUCAGAGGUGAAAUUCUUGGAUUUGUUGAAGACUAACUACUGCGAAAGCAUUUGCCAAGGAUGUUUUCAUUAAUCAGGAACGAAAGUUAGGGGAUCGAAGACGAUCAGAUACCGUCGUAGUCUUAACCAUAAACUAUGCCGACUAGGGAUCGGACGAUGUUAUUUUUUGACUCGUUCGGCACCUUACGAGAAAUCAAAGUGCU
rnacentral:rRNA from 1 species